GCAAACUUGGUCAUUUAGAGGAAGUAAAAGUCGUAACAAGGUUUCCGUAGGUGAACCUGCGGAAGGAUCAUCAUUGAACCUCUAAAUAUCAACAACACCUGUGUGAACAGUUCGGGGGCUGGGAGAGCGCGUGGCUUCGGCCUGGGCUCGCCCGCCUUCAUUUUUUUCCUCUUUCGAGGAAGAAAACGAAAACCCCUCUCUUCUCCUGAUCUCUUGACAUACUCCAAAUGUUAUCGCGAGAUAACGCUUGAAAACAAAAAGACAACUUUUAACAACGGAUCUCUUGGCUCUCGCAUCAAUGAAGAACGCAGC
rnacentral:misc_RNA from 1 species